CUUCUCGCUAUGAGACAGGAACAAAGAAAACGACGAAGGACUGAGAGCAUAGCGUCGAUGGAUGAGACACCCCUUGUUACACCAGUGGAGACAACUGGGGGAGCACCAGCAUCAGCACCUGCAGGCCUAGAGGAUGAAGCUGACCAGGGGCCGGUGUGUGCUGAGGUAAAGAUCCCCGCCUUCACAAGAGGACACUGUCAAUUGGAAGCAAGAGAUGUGGAAAACACAAGGACAAUUGCUCAUCUCCGAAUUCACGUGGAAAGGGUGAUUGGAACUGUCUGAAACAAAUACACAAUUUUGUCUGCAAAAGUGCCCAUCAACAUGGUGUUGCCAUGUGAAGGUGAAGAAAAAACAUUCCUUGACAAGAUUGUGUCUGUAUGUUGUACUCUGACCAUCAUGAGCAGGAGUGUUGUGCAAAGCUGAAGUUGACUGAAAUAAAUGUGCUUUGAGACUCAA